rnacentral:lncRNA from 1 species
AACUAGGUUGUAACCAGUUAAUGUGAUUCAGGAAAGGCUGUAAGGUGGAUAGAAGCUUUCCCUCUUUGCCUUGCUGCACAGGUUACUGUUUUUCCAGACCUCACAUGUGAGACCAGUUAACACAGGCUCAGCAAUUAGGCUGUGAAGUCACCUGAUUAAGUGAGGGGCAACAGCAGGUUUUGGGGCUGAUUGACUUCAGUAGGGCUGCAGCUAACAGCCUGAAACGCUACUUUCCCAGUUCUGCUGGGCUCCUUCUCUUGGACAAACCAGCACCAGCUUUUCAGCAAAGCUCUGAGUGGCAGCUCUUACUGCCUGGGAACAGACUCAUGUGGCCCAGUCAGGAGGAUGACAGCUCUGCACCACCGGGAACUGCAAGGCCACUCACGCUCUCACUGCUGCUCUGUCUGCACUGACAGCCUGGAGCACCUGCUGGAAGUCCCCUCCCCUGAAAUGUGGGGCUGAUCUGAGCAGUUUUGCUUUUCAUUGUGGUUUCUAGAUUGGAUCACCCAGUUACUAUACAGGA